rnacentral:rRNA from 1 species
UAAUGUAUGGGGAUCUGCCCGAUAGAGGGGGAGUAACUACUGGAAACGGUGGCUAAUACCGCAUAAUGUCUACGGACCAAAGCAGGGGCUCUUCGGACCUUGCACUAUCGGAUGAACCCAUAUGGGAUUAGCUAGUAGGUGGGGUAAAGGCUCACCUAGGCGACGAUCUCUAGCUGGUCUGAGAGGAUGAUCAGCCACACUGGGACUGAGACACGGCCCAGACUCCUACGGGAGGCAGCAUG